rnacentral:rRNA from 2 species
GGGGGAGCUAAUACAUGCAAGUCGAGCGGACAGAAGGGAGCUUGCUCCCGGAUGUUAGCGGCGGACGGGUGAGUAACACGUGGGUAACCUGCCUGUAAGACUGGGAUAACUCCGGGAAACCGGAGCUAAUACCGGAUAGUUCCUUGAACCGCAUGGUUCAAGGAUGAAAGACGGUUUCGGCUGUCACUUACAGAUGGACCCGCGGCGCAUUAGCUAGUUGGUGGGGUAAUGGCUCACCAAGGCGACGAUGCGUAGCCGACCUGAGAGGGUGAUCGGCCACACUGGGACUGAGACACGGCCCAGACUCCUACGGGAGGCAGCAGUAGGGAAUCUUCCGCAAUGGACGAAAGUCUGACGGAGCAACGCCGCGUGAGUGAUGAAGGUUUUCGGAUCGUAAAGCUCUGUUGUUAGGGAAGAACAAGUGCGAGAGUAACUGCUCGCACCUUGACGGUACCUAACCAGAAAGCCACGGCUAACUACGUGCCAGCAGCCGCGGUAAUACGUAGGUGGCAAGCGUUGUCCGGAAUUAUUGGGCGUAAAGGGCUCGCAGGCGGUUUCUUAAGUCUGAUGUGAAAGCCCCCGGCUCAACCGGGGAGGGUCAUUGGAAACUGGGAAACUUGAGUGCAGAAGAGGAGAGUGGAAUUCCACGUGUAGCGGUGAAAUGCGUAGAGAUGUGGAGGAACACCAGUGGCGAAGGCGACUCUCUGGUCUGUAACUGACGCUGAGGAGCGAAAGCGUGGGGAGCGAACAGGAUUAGAUACCCUGGUAGUCCACGCCGUAAACGAUGAGUGCUAAGUGUUAGGGGGUUUCCGCCCCUUAGUGCUGCAGCUAACGCAUUAAGCACUCCGCCUGGGGAGUACGGUCGCAAGACUGAAACUCAAAGGAAUUGACGGGGGCCCGCACAAGCGGUGGAGCAUGUGGUUUAAUUCGAAGCAACGCGAAGAACCUUACCAGGUCUUGACAUCCUCUGACAACCCUAGAGAUAGGGCUUUCCCUUCGGGGACAGAGUGACAGGUGGUGCAUGGUUGUCGUCAGCUCGUGUCGUGAGAUGUUGGGUUAAGUCCCGCAACGAGCGCAACCCUUGAUCUUAGUUGCCAGCAUUUAGUUGGGCACUCUAAGGUGACUGCCGGUGACAAACCGGAGGAAGGUGGGGAUGACGUCAAAUCAUCAUGCCCCUUAUGACCUGGGCUACACACGUGCU